UGGGGAAUCUUGCGCUAAUGCGGGAAACCGUGACGCAGCGACGCCGCGUGAGGGAAGAAGGCCUUCGGGUUGUAAACCUCUUUCAGGAGGGACGAAGCCACUCGGGUUAAUAGCCCAGAGGGUGACGGUACCUCCAGAAGAAGCCCCGGCUAACUACGUGCCAGCAGCCGCGGUAAUACGUAGGGGGCAAGCGUUGUCCGGAUUUAUUGGGCGUAAAGAGCGUGUAGGCGGCUAGGUAGGUCCGUUGUGAAAACUCGAGGCUCAACCUCGAGACGUCGAUGGAAACCAUCUGGCUAGAGUCCGGAAGAGGAGAGUGGAAUUCCUGGUGUAGCGGUGAAAUGCGCAGAUAUCAGGAAGAACACCCGUGGCGAAGGCGGCUCUCUGGUACGUGACUGACGCUGAGACGCGAAAGCGUGGGGAGCAAACAGGAUUAGAUACCCCUGUAGUCC
rnacentral:rRNA from 1 species